rnacentral:rRNA from 1 species
CUACUAGUCAUAUGGAUUCCUACGGGAGGCAGCAGUGGGGAAUUUUGGACAAUGGGCGCAAGCCUGAUCCAGCAAUGCCGCGUGAGUGAAGAAGGCCUUCGGGUUGUAAAGCUCUUUUGUCAGGGAAGAAACGGUGGUCUCUAAUACAGGCUGCUAAUGACGGUACCUGAAGAAUAAGCACCGGCUAACUACGUGCCAGCAGCCGCGGUAAUACGUAGGGUGCAAGCGUUAAUCGGAAUUACUGGGCGUAAAGCGUGCGCAGGCGGUUUUGUAAGUCUGUCGUGAAAUCCCCGGGCUCAACCUGGGAAUGGCGAUGGAGACUGCAAGGCUAGAGUUUGGCAGAGGGGGGUAGAAUUCCACGUGUAGCAGUGAAAUGCGUAGAUAUGUGGAGGAACACCGAUGGCGAAGGCAGCCCCCUGGGUCAAGACUGACGCUCAUGCACGAAAGCGUGGGGAGCAAACAGGAUUAGAUACCCUGGUAGUCCACGCCCUAAACGAUGCGAACUAGGUGUUGGGGAAGGAGACUUUCUUAGUACCGCAGCUAACGCGUGAAGUUCGCCGCCUGGGGAGUACGGUCGCAAGAUUAAAACUCAAAGGAAUUGACGGGGACCCGCACAAGCGGUGGAUGAUGUGGAUUAAUUCGAUGCAACGCGAAAAACCUUACCUACCCUUGACAUGUCAGGAAGUCCGCUGAGAGGUGGAUGUGCUCGAAAGAGAACCUGAACACAGGUGCUGCAUGGCUGUCGUCAGCUCGUGUCGUGAGGUGUUGGGUUAAGUCCCGCAACGAGCGCAACCCUUGUCAUUAAUUGCCAUCAUUCAGUUGGGCACUUUAAUGAGACUGCCGGUGACAAACCGGAGGAAGGUGGGGAUGACGUCAAGUCCUCAUGGCCCUUAUGGGUAGGGCUUCACACGUCAUACAAUGGUCGGUACAGAGGGUCGCCAACCCGCGAGGGGGAGCCAAUCCCACAAAGCCGAUCGUAGUCCGGAUCGCAGUCUGCAACUCGACUGCGUGAAGUCGGAAUCGCUAGUAAUCGUGGAUCAGCAUGUCACGGUGAAUACGUUCCCGGGCCUUGUACACACCGCCAU